GAAGUUUUCAGAGAUGAGAAUGUGCCUUCGGGAACCGUGAGACAGGUGCUGCAUGGCUGUCGUCAGCUCGUGUUGUGAAAUGUUGGGUUAAGUCCCGCAACGAGCGCAACCCUUAUCCUUUGUUGCCAGCGGUCCGGCCGGGAACUCAAAGGAGACUGCCAGUGAUAAACUGGAGGAAGGUGGGGAUGACGUCAAGUCAUCAUGGCCCUUACGACCAGGGCUACACACGUGCUACAAUGGCGCAUACAAAGAGAAGCGACCUCGCGAGAGCAAGCGGACCUUAUAAAGUGCGUCGUAGUCCGGAUUGGAGUCUGCAACUCGACUCCAUGAAGUCGGAAUCGCUAGUAAUCGUGGAUCAGAAUGCCACGGUGAAUACGUUCCCGGGCCUUGUACACACCGCCCGUCACACCAUGGGAGUGGGUUGCAAAAGAAGUAGGUAGCUUAACCUUCGGGAGGGCGCUUACCACUUUGUGAUUCAUGACUGGGGUGAAGUCGUAACAAGGUAACCGUAGGGGAACCUGCGGUUGGAUCACCUCCUUACCUUAAAGAAGC
rnacentral:rRNA from 1 species